UAGACCUACGGGGCGCAGCAGUAGGGAAUCUUCGGCAAUGGGCGAAAGCCUGACCGAGCAACGCCGCGUGAAUGAAGAAGGCCUUCGGGUUGUAAAACUCUGUUAUAAGGGAAGAAAGGUGAUAGGAGGAAAUGACUAUCAAUUGACGGUACCUUAUGAGAAAGCCACGGCUAACUACGUGCCAGCAGCCGCGGUAAUACGUAGGUGGCAAGCGUUGUCCGGAUUUAUUGGGCGUAAAGCGAGUGCAGGCGGUUCAAUAAGUCUGAUGUGAAAGCCUUCGGCUC
rnacentral:rRNA from 1 species